GCCUCGGUAGCUCAAUCAGGUAAGAGCACCUGUCUGAAGAACAGGAGGUUCUCGGUUCGAUUCCGAGCCUUGGCG
rnacentral:tRNA from 1 species